rnacentral:misc_RNA from 1 species
GAUGAAGAACGCAGCGAAAUGCGAUACUUGGUGUGAAUUCCAGAAUCCCGUGAACCAUCGAGUCUUUGAACGCAAGUUGCGCCCGAAGCCUCGGCUAAGGGCACGUCUGCCUGGGCGUCACGCAUCGCGUCUCCCCCAAACCGCCAAGGCGGAGGGGAAGGAAGAUGGCUUCCCGUGCCUCACCCGGGCGCGGUUGGCCUAAAUUUGGAGCCCGCGGCACUUAGCUCUCGCGGCGAUAGGUGGUGAACAAGGCCUUGGCCGUGCAAACAACCCGCUGCGAAGCUCUAUGUCACGUGCGCUCGUCGGACCCUUUGAAGUUGCCUUUGGUGACUUAAAACCUUUGCGACCCCAGGUCAGGCGGGGCUACCCGCUGAAUUUAAGCAUAUCAAUAAGCGGAGGA